GAUGAACGCUGGCGGCGUGCCUAAUACAUGCAAGUCGAGCGAAUGGAUUAAGAGCUUGCUCUUAUGAAGUUAGCGGCGGACGGGUGAGUAACACGUGGGUAACCUGCCCAUAAGACUGGGAUAACUCCGGGAAACCGGGGCUAAUACCGGAUAACAUUUUGAACCGCAUGGUUCGAAAUUGAAAGGCGGCUUCGGCUGUCACUUAUGGAUGGACCCGCGUCGCAUUAGCUAGUUGGUGAGGUAACGGCUCACCAAGGCAACGAUGCGUAGCCGACCUGAGAGGGUGAUCGGCAACACUGGGACUGAGACACGGCCAAGACUCCUACGGGAGGCAGCAGUAGGGAAUCUUCCGCAAUGGACGAAAGUCUGACGGAGCAACGCCGCGUGAGUGAUGAAGGCUUUCGGGUCGUAAAACUCUGUUGUUAGGGAAGAACAAGUGCUAGUUGAAUAAGCUGGCACCUUGACGGUACCUAACCAGAAAGCCACGGCUAACUACGUGCCAGCCGCCGCGGUAA
rnacentral:rRNA from 1 species